rnacentral:rRNA from 1 species
AGGGUUCGAGUUCUGGCGUCAGAACGAACGCUGGCGGCAUGGAUUAGGCAUGCAAGUCGAACGAAGCAGCAAUGCUUAGUGGCGCAAGGGUGAGGAACACGUGAGUGACCUACCCGCAAGUUUGGAACAGCUCCUGGAAACGGGAAUUAAUACCGGAUGUGAUCAUGAAGCUGCAUGGUUUCAUGAUUAAAGCAGUAAUGCGCUUGCGGAUGGGCUCGCGUCCCAUUAGCUAGUUGGUGAGGUAACGGCCCACCAAGGCCAUGAUGGGUAGCUGGUCUGAGAGGACGACCAGCCACACUGGGACUGAGAACUGCCCAGACUCCUACGGGAGGCUGCAGUCGAGAAUUUUGGGCAAUGGACGAAAGUCUGAACCCCCAGCAAUGCCGCGUGCGGGAUGAAGGUCUUCGGAUUGUAAACCGCUGUUUGGAGGGACGAAAAUUGACGGUACUUCCAGAGGAAGCCACGGCUAACUACGUGCCAGCAGCAGC